UACGAAGGGUGCAAGCGUUAAUCGGAAUUACUGGGCGUAAAGCGUGCGUAGACGGUUAUUUAAGUCGGGUGUGAAAGCCCCGGGCUCAACCUGGGAAUUGCAUUCGAGACUGAAUAGCUAGGGUACGGUAGGGGCAUGUGGAACUUCCGGUGGAGCGGUGAAAUGCGUAGAUAUCGGAAGGAACGCCGGUGGCGAAAGCGACGUGCUGGGCCUUUUCUGACGCUGAGGCGCGAAAGCCAGGGGAGCAAACGGG
rnacentral:rRNA from 1 species